GGCGCUGGGCGUCGGCGUGCUGGGCGGCGUGCUGUACGCGGCCGGCGGCUUCGACGGGAAGGAAUUCCUGUCGUGCGUGGAGUGCCUGUACGAGCCGGACGGCGAGUGGAGCACGCUGUGCUCCCCCCCGCCCGUGCCGCGCGCCCCCGCCGCCCGCACCCCCGCCACGCCCCCGGCCGCGGGGGAACACCAGGAGAGCGAAGAGAACGGCGUCGCGGCGCAGUGACGGCGCUGCCGGCGCGCUCCGCGGGGGACACAUUCCGACACAAGGUUCCACAGACUGACUUACACGAUAUUGUUUUAUCCGUACACAAUUUAUAAAACCACGUUUUAAAGACAUAGAUUAUAGUGAUAAUCACAUGAAAUGUUGAAUUUAUCAAAUAUUUAGCGGGAAACCGAGUUAUAAUGCGAUCCCCCACACCUCCUACCUUUGCGGCGCCGGCGCAGCACAGAGAGUAUAUUUUUAUAGCCUACCGUCUUGUGCGUUGUUUUUUAAAUAUUUUCCCGUCUUUAUGGAUGAUGUUAUUUAAUAUUGGCAUUUUGAUUGAUUGCUAAUAAUGCAGACGUAACUGCAAAUGUGAACUGCUUAAUUGAGACAUCUUCGUGUAAUUAAAACAAGUUACACAGAGGAAUCGCAGUUGUAGGUGAAGGGUGUAGUUUUAUUUUACCCAUAUAUUUGUAUUUACUAUUUUUAUAAUCUUGUUCCAAAUUCUUUAGACUUAUUUGUGAGCUCAAAAUUUAAUAUUAAUUUAGCAAAAUAAAAAUAUCUAAAUUAAAUUAACAAUGAAAUUUAAAAAAUGUAAUACUUAAUAAAAAAUUUAUUGUGAUUUGUAUAUAUCUUGUGUUCAGAGCGAUUUGAUAUGCCAUAUCAUUCCCCGGGAAUUGCAAAAUGAAUUUGCAUUAUAUAUUUUACUUUCCAAAAUGAGCUGGUCUCAGAAAUGAAGUGAACCCUGUGACGUCAUCAAAUGUAUCAAAACGAACAUUGGUUUUGUUGCCGAUCACUUCCCUGCACGUUGUGCAGGUUGAUGUCAUGAGUUGGCACAUUGAGUCUCUUCACGGCGCGCUUCGCGCUAGGGGCGGACCAGCGGGCGGCGAGGGCGGGGUCAAUCUUAUCAAAUUAUUUAUAAAGUAAUAGUUUUGCCCGCAAAUGUCUGUUUGGCUUAAACGUUUCUAGCAGAAAUAAUAAAAAAUAUGCACGGACGUAUCACACAGAUUGAACUAGCCUCAAAGUUAGUUCAAAACUUGUAUACUGACAUAUUUACCCGACGAUUUUAUAUUUUUGAAAACACAAACAGACACACAGAAUCAUUGACAAAGUUCUGUUGUUUUUUUUAUCAUUGAACAUUACUGAGCUACGGAAGUGACACGGAAUAAUAAAAAUACCCCUCUCCCCCGCCCCCGCCGCCCGCCCCCCGCCGGCGCGCCAGGGUCUGCUCGCCGCCACUACCUCAAAAUUGUUGCUCGCGCGACUCGAUGCCUUUACUAGCAUUUGUAUUGCAUUAUUGAAGUCUGUAUAUAUCGGCCUUUUGUAUGUGUAUUUUAGAGAAUUAAUGUUAGUCACGUGAUUAUAUGAGAGUAUAUUAGAUAUUGUAAUUGAUCGCAAUACUUUACUGUACGGCGGGGUCGUCUCGAUGUGCAUUUACGAUAUAUCCCUAUUUAUUUUAAUAGGCCUAUUUACCUUUAUAUACUUAAGAAAUCUUAAAGUUGUGUGUCAUGUUAUAAUUUGUCUAUCUAUGUGUAUUCACGCAAGUUGAGAUGGCAUUUGUGAUGCAUUAAAUGAAUUGAAAGCAAUAAAUGUUUCGCCCGCCCUCUAGUAGCGCAACUACGUGAUUGUGAUCCCUGUAAAAGACACUAAGUUAAGAGUCGUCCAGCCUUCCUUAUUGUUUCUCACGAGAAUAAACGUUUAG
rnacentral:lncRNA from 1 species